rnacentral:rRNA from 1 species
AUGGAAGAGUCGCCCGAGAACGCCGCCGCAGCGCCCGCGCCACCCGCCGCCCCGACCCCGGCACCGAAGCCGUCCCUGCCCACUAGGUUCGGGAUACCGCCGCUGUACAACCUCGACGCCAAGUGGGACGCCUGCCUCGACCUUGCCAUCCGCCGCGGGACGCAUGUCACCUACUCCUUCCUCACUGAUGCCUUCGGGGGCCUCAUCCCCUUCCGUAGCCCAACAACACGCUGGGCAUCAGUUGCACUUGGAGCUGGUGUGGGGAUAGGGGACGCAUUGACUGAAUGCUCAUACAUAUUCAAUGGUUCUCCUCCAAAGUGGAUGGCCCCUGAAUGCUCAUACAUAUUGAAUGGUUCUCCUCCAAAGUGGGGAAAGGUAAGCAUUUCUCUUCUCCCCCUUACCCUCUGUUCAUCUCUUUCCUCCGGCUGCUUGCUGAACCACAUCAAGUAA